rnacentral:tRNA from 1 species
CCUUCGAUAGCUCAGCUGGUAGAGCGGAGGACUGUAGCGGUGCAGCCAGGCAUCCUUAGGUCGCUGGUUCAAAUCCGGCUCGAAGGA